AUGCAAGUCGAACGAGAGAGAAGGAGCUUGCUUCUUCGGUCGAGUGGCGAACGGGUGAGUAACGCGUGAGGAACCUGGCUCAAAGAGGGGGACAACAGUUGGAAACGACUGCUAAUACCGCAUAAGCCCACGGGUCGGCAUCGACCUGAGGGAAAAGGAGCAAUCCGCUUUGAGAUGGCCUCGCGUCCGAUUAGCUAGUUGGUGAGGUAACGGCCCACCAAGGCGACGAUCGGUAGCCGGACUGAGAGGUUGAACGGCCACAUUGGGACUGAGACACGGCCCAGACUCCUACGGGAGGCAGCAGUGGGGAAUAUUGCACAAUGGGGGAAACCCUGAUGCAGCGACGCCGCGUGGAGGAAGAAGGUCUUCGGAUUGUAAACUCCUGUUGUUGAGGAAGAUAAUGACGGUACUCAACAAGGAAGUGACGGCUAACUACGUGCCAGCAGCCGCGGUAAAACGUAGGUCACAAGCGUUGUCCGGAAUUACUGGGUGUAAAGGGAGCGCAGGCGGGAAGACAAGUUGGAAGUGAAAUCUGUGGGCUCAACCCAUAAACUGCUUUCAAAACUGUUUUUCUUGAGUAGUGCAGAGGUAGGCGGAAUUCCCGGUGUAGCGGUGGAAUGCGUAGAUAUCGGGAGGAACACCAGUGGCGAAGGCGGCCUACUGGGCACCAACUGACGCUGAGGCUCGAAAGUGUGGGUAGCAAACAGGAUUAGAUACCCUGGUAGUCCACACCGUAAACGAUGAUUACUAGGUGUUGGAGGAUUGACCCCUUCAGUGCCGCAGUU
rnacentral:rRNA from 1 species